rnacentral:lncRNA from 10 species
CCUGUUUCUCCACAUCCUCUCCAGCACCCGUUGUUUCCUGACUUUUUAAUGAUUGCCAUUCUAACUGGUGUGAGAUGGUAUCUCAUAGUGGUUUUGAUUUGCAUUUCUUUGAUGGCCAGUGAUGAUGAGCAUUUUUUCAUGUGUUUUUUGGCUGCAUAAAUGUCUUCUUUUGAGAAGUGUCUGUUCAUGUCCUUCGCCCACUUUUGUUCUUAAAGACACCAAAUAAGUCAGUGCCUUCUGUAUCUCUUUACAAUUUUUGUAGGUUUGAUUUUAAAUUAAAUAACUAUAUAUUUCAGUUUAAAGUUAUCAAAUCCAUGUCUACUAUCUGAUCAUAUUUAUUUCAGGAAAAAACUCUGUGUAUUUGAAAUUAAUAAACAACCUAUAAUGUUGUUUACUAUGUAUUAAUCACGAUUUUAAAAACGUACAACAAUAGCAAACAAACUUGAACAAAGACAUGCAACUCAUUCCAGAGGAAUGAGAGAUGUUUUUUCCAAGAAACUAAUUUUCAUCUCAUUAUUUAUUUUAAUGUCUCAUUUUUACCAAAUUAUACAAAUAAUAUGCAAAUAAGUGAUUAAAAUAAUGUGACAAAAUCAUAAUGACCUCUAAAAAUUAUGAUGAGCUGCAAAAAGAAUACUCAUUAACAAGGUUGUACAAUUAAUUUCAUAAAAAUGUUCCAAAUGCAAUUUGGCAGAAGAAAGAUGCACAGGUUCCAGAAACAAUUUAUAGUGUUUAUUGAAACAUGCAUAUUUCCCAAUUAAAAUCCACUGAUGAAAUUUUUAAAAUUUAACUUUUGAAUGUCUUUAUUCUAUUUUAUUAGAUAGUUCUUUAUCUUCAAAUAUAAUACUGAUAAAUCUGAGGACUUGCCAAGUAAUAUGCUGUGCUGAAAUUUCAAUGCUACAGAGAAGAGAGAACAAGAUAAACAUGUUUCUUCAUCUUAAUGUACCUCUGUAUAAGUUCUUGCAUUCAAUUACACAUAAUCAAUGUAUAGAAUGUUCCUCAUACAAUGGGCAUUCCACCUUGUAUGUGCACACAUGGAUUAAAAAUAUAACUUCUGUACAAAUUAUAUUGACAGCUUCUGUGUCUUACCUUUAAAGACAUGCACAUGUUUGCAUUUCCAUUUUUGGAGGAUGGACAUUUAAUUACAAUUUUAGAUUUAUGGUCCACCAUAAGGGAAAUAACAUAGCUAAAAAUGAAAGAAAAAGAUUCCGAGCUUAAUUUCUGGGUGAUGUAAUGUUAUGUACAACAACCCCCCCAUGACAUGUGUUUAUCUAUAUAACAAACCUUCGCAUGUACCCGUAAACCUAAAAUAUAAACUUUUUAAAAAGAUUGAUUCCAACAUUAGGAAGUCAAUGUUUCUUCUUUAAAUUGCAAUCUAGAGAAAGAUGCUACUAUAGUUUUGCUUUAUUAUUAUAUUUGUAUUUUAAUAUUUUACUAUAAAAUGUAUUUUAUUAUGAUUAUAAUAAUUUUUAAUUAAACAUCUCAAUAACAAAGUCCUCACAAUUUCAUAUAUGUCCGUGAUAUACUAAAGUUUCUGCAAGUAUUGAAAAGUGCUUAAAAUGAGAAGCAACAUAUAUGUUGUUGAUUAUCAUCCAAAGGCUAUGGGUAAAAAAGCAAGGAGUGCUCUAGAAGGGCAAAAAAACAGACUGGACAUAGAAAGACUCUCACCACACUGACAAAAGGUCCCUAUUAUAUUUUUAAAUUAAAAAUAACAAUAAUUAUUAUAUGCAUUCAUUCUUAAAUACUACCUAGUAAACACACAUUUUUAAUCAGUGAUUGGAUUCCAUCAUUCUCAACCCUUCUGUAACCUUUAAAAACUUAAGACAUGUUUAUCUUGCCUAUCCAAACAACAAUGAGAUGGUAUCAAUGGAGCAUACAGAAUACUUUGGUUUGUGUUGAUAUGUUAAAAACAAGAAAACAAACAAAAAACCAAUUGAUUUUUAUUUUAGGACAGACAGUGGAACAAAGAUAUAAAAUAAUAUAUGUCAUAAACCUUUGCACAGCAGUGCUGACGUGAUCUUAACAUCUGCCUAUAUUAUAAAAAGGAAGUUAAGCUUGAAUAUGAAAUGUGAAAAAAAUAGCCUAUUCAAUUAAAAAGACUGAUUUGGGAGAUGAACAUUAAACACUAAGCAAAUGCCCUUAGUGAGUUAGCAGGUGGUUAAAGAAAUUACAGCAAAACGGUGAACUCCAGAGUCCUGAAGGGGUAAUCAGCACAAUGCCUGAGAUGAAAUGGUUAGGAAGCAGACUGUGAUGUCUAUUGCCAGAAAGAUGAUCAAUGGUACGAGAUAUUUUGCACUCGAAUUAGACAAUAAUGUGGCUCUUCCUACUAAAGCAGUAGAAUAAAACAUCAUCUUUCACUUCAGCUCCUGGAGAAGAUGAUAAUGUUUUUAGCAGAGUUCAAAAGGAAUAGUGACUCAGGUUUUAGAGAGAGCUGCCAGGUGAAGCAAACAAGCAAAACAAUUGCAUGUUUAAAAAAUUAAACAAGUAGCCAACAUUUGGAAAAUUAUAUUAUGGAAAAGAAAAACCUUUCCAAAUUUGCAGGAUAAAGUCUCUGAAAGUGUCGAAAGGGACUUAAAAUGAGAAGCUACAAAUAUGUUCAUUAU